GCCCGCCUAGCUCAAUCGGAUAGAGCGUCAGACUUUUACGAAUAGUCGAGCGGGCUAUGGUAAUCAUCUGAAGGCUGCGAGUUCGACCCUCGCGGUGGGCU